AGAAAUGCACCUGUCCUGUCAAGAACGGCUGUGGGGAGGAAGGGGAGAAUAUGAUAAGCCACUGUCCUAUUCCAACUUCAGCUCCGUGACAUAGAGGCAACCUGUGCUCCCAGGACGGCUUUUCCAGAGCUACCAGGAUAUCACUGGAGGGAAUAUGCCAAAUCCAGGAGGACAGUGCCCUGGAAUUCUGCUCACUUUGGGAAGCACGACACUCUGAUGGAAGGAGUGCAGGCCACAUUUUUGCUUGGCUCCUUCUGCAUGGCUACUGACUGGAUUGAAGGCUCGGUGCCAGCUCCAAAGGGCAACGUCACAGCAAUGGCUUUACCAUCGCCAGUGCCUAAAUCCUGACACAUAGAAGAUGUUGAAGAAACUGCGUGGGAACAUACCAGAAACAAAAGCACCCACAGGCGGUCCAAGAAGAGAGCUGGGAUUUUUGAGUCUGGACUGCCCAUGUGCUGGGUCCUAACAUGACAUCCUCUAUGGGAGACAGAUGACCGAUGCCUCGGGCCCAGGCUGGAAGUGCCCGGUGAGGUGGGAACAGUGACAACUGUGGAAUCCGAAGGAAACUUCCGAUAACAUGGGGAAACAAAAAUACAGGUAUGGCACCCAUGACCCCUUUGAGCUCUCCUUCUUGCUGUUCUCCACGGGCCAUUGGUAAGUUCCUCUCAGUGCUCAGCUCCGCUCUCUGUACUAAUUGGCAGUUAGAUGGCUCCCCAUCUAACCGGCUUUCUACAGUUCCCCAUCUGAUUGAAAUCCCCAGCUCAAUCCUCAGAUUCCACCUUGGGAGCUGCUGGUGGCUCAGUUCACAGUUCCUCAUUUGUUUAGGAUCCCAGCCCACAGGGCCCAUUCCUUGGAGUCUGCUGCUUUAGUCCUUGUCCCAGCCCCAGGUCCAUGUUAGGAAUCGGUGGUGGUUACCGACCAGGCUCAGACUGGGUCUGAUGUGAUUUGUGUAGAUGAAGGCUACUGUUAACCUCAGAAGCCCAAAUCCACAAAACCAGUGGGCACAACUGAGCAUUUAAAAGCAAUCAGAAUGCAUUCUACCUAACUCUUGAGACUCCUGGGUCUUAAGCUAGUCUCCCAAUUUAAGAAUAAAUUGGUUACAGAAUGAGCUAGAUUGACACUAGGGCACCUGCAACCUCAAGAAAAUUUCCAUGUGAUGAAGUACCCUGUAAAACACCUUAUAAUCACCAAGCCAGCAGUGCAUUCCCCUUAGG